rnacentral:rRNA from 1 species
UGCAGUCGACGAUCCUUCGGGAUAGUGGCAGACGGGUGAGUAACGCGUGGGAACCUACCUAAUAGUACGGAAUAGCCUCGGGAAACUGGGAAUAAUACCGUAUACGCCUCCAUUUUUUAGUGAUUUGGAGGGAAAGAUUUAUCGCUAUUGGAUGGGCCCGCGUUAGAUUAGAUAGUUGGUGGGGUAAUGGCCUACCAAGUCUACGAUCUAUAGCUGGUCUGAGAGGAUGAUCAGCCACACUGGAACUGAGACACGGUCCAGACUCCUACGGGAGGCAGCAGUGGGGAAUAUUGGACAAUGGGGGCAACCCUGAUCCAGCCAUGCCGCGUGAGUGAUGAAGGCCUUAGGGUUGUAAAGCUCUUUCACCGGUGAAGAUAAUGACUGUAGCCGGAGAAGAAGCCCCGGCUAACUUCGUGCCAGCAGCCGCGGUAAUACGAAGGGGGCUAGCGUUGUUCGGAUUUACUGGGCGUAAAGCGCACGUAGGCGGAUUGAUAAGUUAGAGGUGAAAUCCCAGAGCUCAACUCUGGAACUGCCUUUAAUACUGUCAAUCUCGAGUCCGGAAGAGGUGAGUGGAACUCCUAGUGUAGAGGUGGAAUUCGUAGAUAUAGGAAGGAACAUCAGUGGC